rnacentral:lncRNA from 1 species
GAAGUUCCUUUCCCAGUUUCUCACACUUCCUCUCCUAUUCAAUGAAGCUUUGUGAGUUGAAAGGAUGAAUGUGAGACGGCCACAAUGGUUUAGUGACAAGGGGACCUUUUAUUGAAAUCAAAACACAAUCCUUAUCCACGUUCAAUGUGAGGGCCCAGGAAUCCAAUAUGCAGGUAUUCCUGAGAAGGUUAGGAAAUGAUAUUGGCCUUUUGGAGCCAAUUCCGAUGAGGCACGCUGGUGCCAGCAGAUGUAACUGGGAGGAGGGAGAGCAUCAGGUCAAGAGAGCAGCUGGACUGGAUAGGGAGAAAUCCACUGUCCCUGUCUAGGGCGAUGUCACAGGUGUAGGUCUCGGCGUGGCGGUGGGUGUUUCGACCCAGCUGUCUGUCUGACCAAGGCAUCCAACCUGGGUGGGACUUGGGAAGGCCGAGCCCUCCCGGUGCGAGCUUCCUGCUUCCUGGGGAAGCUGAGGAGCGAGGGGUUGCCCUGGGACUCACGGGCACCUGUGGGCCCUGUGUGGGACCGCAGGCACCACAACCCUGCUGGGGCAAGGCUGGAGCUCGAAGUGGAGGUGGGCCAGCCUUUGUCUCAUGGCCGCGUUUUCCCUUCUGAGCUGCAGGAGCUGUCUCUCCGCCCACAGAGCUGCCAUCCCAGUUUCGUGGGCUCUUGUCUCAUAGAAGAGGAUCUCGUUCUGGUAAGAGACAGCGGUCCUGGCCACCUCUCUGCCCACGUCUUCCGCUCGCUUCUUGUAGACUCUGCCCUGCUGACACAGAGAGCCCAGGGCUCAGGCCAAUGGGUGGUCUUCAGGGUGCUUUCAGCCAGAGAUGGCAGCUGGCUCCCUUUCUCCUCCAGGACCCGCCGGCUCCGUGUGUGUAAACGUGCCAGCACAUCUUUCUGUCCCCUCAGGACGCGCAUUCUCUGCUUCCAUCCCUCUGUUUCCUGGCAGAGUCUUUCCAGGCAUUGCUGCAGAUGAGUGUUGUCCUUCAGCCCAGCCAUGAGUUUCUUCUUCAUCACUGCCUAUUCUGUCACUGCCAAAAGUAUCCAUAUGCGCUUCGAAGAAACAAAGGAUGUAAGAGGAUGGGUUGUAGUUUUAAAAGCAUUGCUUUGAUUCUAUAAAGGAAAUUUGAAAGUUCAUGGUUGACAUCACUUUACAAUUUAGACAGGAAUCAGAAAAAAUAUGACCGAAGUCACUGUGUUUAUCUCGAUGGACUUCACAGAUGAUUUUGAGUUAUGUCUUCCUAUGUUUCCUUUUUCUAACAAUUUAUCAUUUUACAUUGGUAGGAAAUUUGGGAUUGGUUAUACCGGUCAUUGAAGAUUCUUGGCUCCACAAUCCUAUGAGCUAUUUUCAGAGUGUGUUGCCAUUCUUGGAUGCCUGCUAUUCCUCUGUUGGCACUCCAAUUUCCUGUCAGAAAAUACAGCCAUUUCAUAUCAUGGGUGUGCAGCGCAGAUGUUUCUGUGUAUCAGUUUUGGGACCUCAGAAUGCUUUCUUGUGGCUGCCAUGGCAUAUGAUUGCUAAGAAGCCAUCUACAACCCACUAGUGUAUUUGGUUAGCAUGUUACGUAGAGUCUAUGUGACACUCAUCGUUGCUUCCUAUGUCUGGGGUCCUCUUGCAUACUUCUGUACAGACCAUGGCUACAUUUACCCUAUCCUUCUGUGCAUCCAAUGAAAUUAGACGUGUCUUUUGUGAUAUCCCUCAUCUCCUGGCCAUUUCUUGCUCUGACCCUCACACAGACCAGCUUCACCCCUUCGACUUUGUGGGCUCUAUUGAGGUAGUCACUGUUCUGAUUGCCCUGAUCUCCGAUGGUUUCAUUCUGCUGGUGAAUCUUUUUUUAAAAUUACAUAAUUAAUUUUAUUACAUUUAUAGGUAUACAACAAUCAUCACAGCCAAAUUUUAUAGUAUGUCCGUCUCAAACUCUAAGUAUAUCCCCCACCCCCCAACAUGUCUCAUUUACAAACCACAGGAUUUUCAAAGU